AGUGAACGCUGGCGGUAGGCCUAACACAUGCAAGUCGAACGGCAGCACAGUAAGAGCUUGCUCUUACGGGUGGCGAGUGGCGGACGGGUGAGGAAUACAUCGGAAUCUACUUUUUCGUGGGGGAUAACGUAGGGAAACUUACGCUAAUACCGCAUACGAACUACGGGUGAAAGCAGGGGUUCUUCGGACCUUGCGCGAUUGAAUGAGCCGAUGUCGGAUUAGCUAGUUGGCGGGGUAAAGGCCCACCAAGGCGACGAUCCGUAGCUGGUCUGAGAGGAUGAUCAGCCACACUGGAACUGAGACACGGUCCAGACUCCUACGGGAGGCAGCAGUGGGGAAUAUUGGACAAUGGGCGCAAGCCUGAUCCAGCCAUACCGCGUGGGUGAAGAAGGCCUUCGGGUUGUAAAGCCCUUUUGUUGGGAAAGAAAAGCAGCAGGUUAAUACCCCGCUGUUCUGACGGUACCCAAAGAAUAAGCACCGGCUAACUUCGUG
rnacentral:rRNA from 1 species